UACGUAGGUGGCAAGCGUUAUCCGGAAUUAUUGGGCGUAAAGAGCGCGCAGGUGGUUGAUUAAGUCUGAUGUGAAAGCCCACGGCUUAACCGUGGAGGGUCAUUGGAAACUGGUCGACUUGAGUGCAGAAGAGGGAAGUGGAAUUCCAUGUGUAGCGGUGAAAUGCGUAGAUAUCGGGAGGAACACCUGUGGCGAAGGCGGCCAGCUGGGGAUACACCUGACGCUGAGAUGCGAAGGCGUGGGGAGCGAACGGGAUUAGAUAU
rnacentral:rRNA from 1 species